rnacentral:rRNA from 1 species
UACGUAGGGGGCAAGCGUUGUCCGGAUUUAUUGGGCGUAAAGAGCGUGUAGGCGGCCAUACAGGUCCGUUGUGAAAACUCGAGGCUCAACCUCGAGACGUCGAUGGAAACCGUAUGGCUAGAGUCCGGAAGAGGAGAGUGGAAUUCCUGGUGUAGCGGUGAAAUGCGCAGAUAUCAGGAAGAACACCCGUGGCGAAGGCGGCUCUCUGGGACGGUACUGACGCUGAGGCACGAAAGCGUGGGGAGCAAACAGG